CUUUUUCAAGUAAGUGUUUCCUGGUUUUAAGUAUUCUGUGGUCUAUAUGUUAGGUGCUCACUGCUCACGUUUCUCCCUGUCUCUAAACAUGUUUUUAAAUGGCAGACUUAUGCAGGAGCUGAAUUUCUUAAAAAUGGUGGCCAUUCCCCUUCUUUGAUUCGUCACCCCCUUGUGCCCAUUUGUGAUUGCAGAGUCACUGCCUCAAAUCUGCUUCUUAUUUGGUUUUACGGGGGAAGAGAUGAUGGAGCUCAUUGAUGCAUUUCCAAAACCUCUACAUGUAUGUAAAAGUCGUAUCAAGGAAAAAAGAAAAAGAAAAAGAAAAAGAGGAAUGGAUCAUUUCUUUUAAAGAUGAGUACAUUGUAUAAUAUUUAGUAACUGAUUGUAACGAUCAACCAACUGUACCACCUUUACACAAUGCCA